UACAUGGGGUGCAAACGUUGCUCGGAAUUAUUGGGCGUAAAGCGCGCGUAGGCGGUUACUCAAGUCGGAUGUGAAAGCCCUCGGCUUAACUGAGGAAGUGCACCCGAAACUGAGUAGCUAGAGUACUAAAGAGGGUCGCGGAAUUCCCGGUGUAGAGGUGAAAUUCGUAGAUAUCGGGAGGAACACCGGUGGCGAAGGCGGCGACCUGGGUAGAUACUGACGCUGAGGCGCGAAAGCGUGGGGAGCAACAGG
rnacentral:rRNA from 1 species